CACUAACCACUGCACCACCAGCGCCCCAAUCUUAUCAUAUCUUAUCUUAUUCUCUGACCUCUUUGUUGUUCAUAGCAGCUGGAUCCAAAGUCGACCACCUUGAUGUUCCCCGGGCCUCUCUGAGACAGAAGGAUGUUCUCCUGUUUGAAAAAGCAAAAAACAUUCAAACACUCUAAAUAAAAGCCGUUUUCCGUACCGGUUUGAGGUCACAGUGGAUGAUCUUCUCCCUGUGCAGCAUCUGCAGGCACCUCAGGAGGGCAUGAGUGAACCGACGGAUGAGAGCCAGACUGAAGCCCUGGAAGUUGUUUUUUUUAAUGAGCUCGUACAGGUUCACCCUGCAGAAAGAGGAAAUGAUGUUUGUUAUUUUUCCUUUUCUUAAAGAUUCUGUGAGGUACCAAGCUAACGACCCCUGUAGACAAAGUGCAACAACCCUAGACAGUCUAAAACACGGACAGAGUCUCAGUGAAGUCAUCCCUUGGGUUCUUAAGUGGUGUUCAGAAGCGCAAUGAUGGCAGUCACCAUGUUAUGUUAUCUCCACCUAACUUGCCUUUCAAUUAGCCCAGAAACUGGAGAGAGGUGGAGCUGAGGCGGGGGAGCCUUUAGCCUCCUUGCACACAGCUCUCUCUCAGUUAGCUCAGCCAUGCACUUAGUUAUGCAAAUGUAAACAUACAUUGUAGCCUUAAUAUGACAUAUUCAACCCUGGUACAGUUUUUACAUUUGAAAAAUUUGUUUGAUGUAAACAUGUUUGUUUCUGCUGUAAAAAUGGGCAUUACAGGAGAUCUAAUGGGGAUUCCUUGGCUUUUGCAGUGGUCACUCAAGGAACUGCAAUUUUUUUUUUGCACUUUUGCAUGGUUGCCGCUCUGAUACAUCUUAACUUUGAUGAUUUUGUCCUGUACAUAUGUAAGGAGUAAAAUCCUCCUGCUGUCGUUUAACUGUCUAAUGUUCCACUCAAUCUGAAUCUCUCCGUAGAUGUGUUAACUUCCGUCUACUCACUCCGUCUAACCCCUGACCUGGUGGCAGUAGUAACAGACAUUAAAAAGAAAACACUGAAUCUUGUC